rnacentral:lncRNA from 9 species
GGAGAGACUGGCUUGGGAAGGCUCUGAUCACUGGAAGCAGCGGAGAUGCAGGGGCCAGAGGAGGAGGCGUGCGUCAGGCCCGUGAGGGCCCAGCCGGCUGGAGACCCAGGGCUAGGCCUGAAGGCCGCCCUGGGCGGGUCUUGGCGCCUUGUUGGGCCAAGAGGUUCGAUGCGGCCCCAGUGGUCACGGGCCCUGCGGGUUCUGGCCAGGAGCAACCCCGCCAGAACUGGUUCAGGGCCUCGCAGCGUGACUUUGCCAUGUUGCGACACGCCUGGAAGACUCAGGUACCUCACAGCCGGAUGCCUCUCCUUUUGAGCCCACUUCACGCAAUUCCUCCUCCCUCUCCCACCACCUCUGGUGACCACAGACCCGGCCUCCUUUUCUCCUUGUUUGUCCGCUUGACCGGCAGCCUGGGUUCGGGCUACAGCGCUGUGGUUCGAUGUUUCUCUGCAUCUUGAGAAGAUCGCCACUCGCCACUUGGACGUCUGGUUCCACCCUGUCACCGGACAAAGACGUCACGUAGUUAUGGCCCUGUGCCCUGUGCUGUGCUUUUCACACCCAUGACUCAUUUAAUUUGUAACUGGAAGUUUGUACCUUUUUGGGGGGGCACACCUGUGGCCUGUGGAAACCCCCAGGCUAGGGGUUGAAUCAGAGCUACAGCUGCCGGCCACAGCCGCAGCCGCAGCCACACAGGGUCUGAGCCGCAUCUGCGACCUACACCUGAGCUCACAGCCAUGCAGGCUCCUUAACCCACUGAGCGGGGCCAGGGAUCGAACCUGCGUCCUCACAGAUCCUAGUUGGGGUCAGUACUGCUGAGCCACAGCGGGAACCGGAAGUUUGUACCUCCUAAUCCUCCUCAUCUAUUGCUCUCCUCCCUCACCCCGCCCCCUCUGACAGCCACCUGCCUGUUCUACGAAUCUCCGUCUCUGUUUCUAUUAUAUCCGUUCAUUUGUUUCUCAGAUCACAUGUGUAAAUGACAUAUACAGUAUUGUCUUUCUCUGUCUGACAUUUCACUUGGCUUAAUACCCUCUGGGUCCAUCCAGGUUGUCGCACAUGGCAGAUUUCAUCCUUUUUAUGGAUGUGUAAUGUUCCAGGUGUGUGUGUGUGUGUGAUGUCUUUAUCCAUCUCUCUGUGGUUGGGCACCCGAGUUGCUUCCAUAUCUCGGCUGUUGUAAAUGAUGCUGCAGUUGACAUAGGGUGCUUAUAUCUUUUCAAAGUAGUGUUUUCAUUAUCUUGAGAUAAAUAACCAGGAGUGGAGUUGUUGGAGCUUAUGGUAUUUCUAUUUUUAAUAUUUCGAGGAACCUCCGUAUUGAUUCCAUAGCAGCGGAACCCGUUUCAAUCCCACCAGCCGUGCAGGAGUGUCCCUUUCCCCACAUGCUUGCUCACACUUACUGUGGUCUUUUUGAUGACAGCCGUUCUGACGGCUGUGAGGUGGCAGCUCAUUGUUUUGCUUCGCGUUUCCCGGAUGAUUAGUGAUGCUGAGCAUCUUUUUCUGGGCCCGUUGGCCAUCUGCAUGUGUUCUUUGGAAAAAUGCCUAUUCGAAUCCUCUGCCCACUUUUUAAAUUGGGUUGUGCGUUUUCUUUCAUGUUCAGUUGUGUGAAUUCUUUGUGUAUUUUGGAUAUUAACCCCUGAUCAGAUAUAUCUUUUGCAACUCUUUUCUCCCAUUCAGUAGGUGGCCUUUUUGUUUUGCUGAUGGUUUUCAUCACUGUGCAGAAGCUUUUUAGUUGGAUGUCGUCCCAUUUAUUUAUUUUUGCUUUUGUUUCCCUUGCCUGAGGAGACACACCCAACGAAAUAUUGCUAAAGCCAGUGUUGAAGAGUCUAUGACUUAUGUUUCUUCUAGAAGUUUUAUGGUUCAGGCCUUACAUGUAUGUCUUUAAUCUACUUUGAGUUUAUUUUUGUAUGUGUAAGAAAGGAGUCCAGUUUGAAUCUUGUGCAUGUAGCUGUCCAGUUUCCCAACACAGUUAUUGAAGAGGCUGUCUGUUCCCCACCGUAUGUUCUUGCCUCCUCUGCCAUAGAUUGAUUUGCAGUUUAAGCAUGGGUUCAUUUCUGGGCUCUCUAUUCUGUUCUGUUGAUCUGUGUUUCUGUUCUUGUGCAAGUACCACACUGUUUUGAUGACUGUAGCUUUGUAGUAUAGGUUGAAAUCAAGGAGUGUGAUGCCUUUUGAUGAUCUUUUUGGCUAUUCAGAGUCUUUUGUGACUCCAUACAAGUUUUGGAAUUAUUUGUUUUGUUCUGUGAAAAAUGCCAUCAGUAUUUUUUUUUUUUGUCUUUUGUCUUUUUAGGGCCGUACCCAUGGCAUAUGGAGGUUCCCAGGGUAGGGGUCAAAUUGGAGCUGUAGCUGCCAGCCUACACCACAGCCAUAGCAAUGCAGGAUUCGUGCCACAUCUGCAACCUACACCACAGCUCACAGCAACUGUGGAUCCUUAACCCUGAGCAAGGCCAGGGAUCAAACCCAAGUCCUCAUGAUGCUCAUUGGGUUCAUCAACCACUGAGCCAUUGUUAUUUUGAUAGUGAUUACAUUGAAUCUGUAGUUUGCUUGGGUAGUGGGUCAUUUUAUCAAUAUAGAUUCUUCUAAUCCAUAAGCAUGAUAUAUUUUCC